ensembl:lncRNA
GCGGUGGCUGUGGUGGCGGAGGCGCGGAGGCUCGGCGCGGGGCUGCGGGCAGGGCUGGGCGCGCACCGGGCGGGCGGCGGCGGCUGGGAGGAGCGCCGCGGGAGGAGGACCGGGGAAGCGGGAGGAGGCGCCGGAGCCGGAGCCGCCCCAGCCCGCGCCGCCAACUUGAGCAAGUUGGUCGCCGCUGCCCCCUCUGGCGGGCGGCGGCUGCCCCGCAGGGGCCGGGCCCCUCCCCCGCGGCCAAGGUCACAGCGGAGCGCGGGGUCCGCUGGAGCGCACCCGGCGCACCCUACCCACUCUCUCGCUGGUCUCGGGCCGCGCCUCUUCCCCGGGAAACUCGAGUCCCGAAUUUCCUCGGAACGCGCCCCGCUGCUACGGCCAACGGAUGUGACGAGGCUCAUCUGCUACCAGGGGGAAAGUUUCGGGAACCCUUAAAGGGGCAGCGAGGGCCUGAACUGGCCCGGUGGCCUGGCGCGCGAGGGGGCCCCGCAGCGGUGGGGGGUGACUUGAGGGUCGGAGAGGAGAGGAGAGGAUCGUCUGAGAGCCGCGGGCAUCACCAGGAGUCAGCGCCGCCCCUCGCUAAGUUCAUCCCUGCCGCACUUAAGCCCACGGAGUCUGGCUGCCUCUCUGGGUACUAAACGCAGGGGGGACAGUUGCACCGGCUAAAGCCCAUCGAUUUCUACUGAAACGAGGAGCACAAAAAUCUUUCUACCUCCUCCAGCUGAAUUAUGCUGGCUGUUUUAACAAACAAACCCAUCUUCAAACAGUGGGAAGGUUGGAGCAAAGCUUCACUCCUCCCUGUGAUUUCCAGCUACUUCUGUUCAAGAUUUGAUUUUUAUUCCUGUCUUCUCAAGUUUAGAAUUAAAUCUAACUCUGCAAGAGACCCAUAUGUCAGAGAUCUUCAGUUGUGUAUAUAAGCCUCACAUUUUCCCCAAACUACAUCCCAACUUUAACAAAUCCCCAGCCUCAAAAAGAAAGGCCUAGUUGGGCCUGUGAUAUAACCUAAAUUGAUAUCCCCAUAAAUCUGCAUAGUAAUUCCAGAGAUAUUAUAUUCAUAUAUUCACAUUUCAAAUUCAAGGUUGUAGAGGAAGUAUAAUUUUUAAAGAAUGAUUAUUUAUACUCCUUAGUGUCCAGUCUUGAGGGGUUCAGAAAGACGUGCAGACAGUUCUCAGAAGCACAUAACCUUGUAAAAAGCACAUGGAAUUUAUUAAGGACAUUGGCAUUGGGGCUACCUGACGUAAAGUUCAACAUUAGAGACAUUUGCUCUAAUAAUUAAAAACCACAAGGGAAAAUUUUAGAAAUCAAGUCUAAUUAAGGUUUGUCCUUCGUGGAACUCCUGACUCCGCCUGGUAGGAGUAUUCAUGAGGUUUUCAUUUUGCAAGGGCGAGUUCAGGUUUACAGGAAAACAGAUGCAUUAAGAUAGAGUCACGGAGGAGCUCAUGCAGUUUUAAUGGAUGGCAGAGCUGUCACAUCAGAAAAUAUUGUGGGCUGAAAUGACAGCAUCUGAUGAUGGUCCCCUUGGCCAUCUCUGUCUUAGGAAUGGUCUCGGGGUUCUUGACCCCUCCUCAGAACGAUGGCACUGGCUGGGUCUGGGAAACAAUCAUUUCACCUGCCAGGUGUUCUCACUGAAUCCCCUCGGGGCAGGCCUCUCAGGGCACUGCAUUAGAGCUCUUUAUAUCCUUCCAGAAGCACUUCUCUGAGAAAGAAGCCACUUCCCACAACAUGGGUGAGCAGGGGGAGAAGGUGGACCCCUCACGUCCCUGCAGUACCCCCACAUUUCUUCAAACUGCCCCAUUCCCCCUCCAUGUACUGAGGGCCCCCGCCACACACUUCCUGGGGCCACUCAGAAAAACCACGGCCAAAAGUGAGACUGGCCCAUCCUCCUUGUAAAGAGCAGACAUCCUCACCAAGAACUGCCCCAGACAGCAUAAGGUGAGGACUGGUCUCACCCACUUGUCCAAGGAGCCAACCAGGGAUUCCUUCCAGAAGUACUUGGUGCUUGGCCAGGAAGAUUGUCAUCGGGGUGUUCGUUGAUGUUCACCUGUUCUUACCGCCAGCUCUGAGCUCCUUUUACCAGCAAUUCUCAAAUUGUGGGUCUCAGGACCCUUUAACUGCCUAAAAAAUUGGGGACCCCCAUGGGGCACCUGGGUGACUCAGUGGGUUGAGCAUCCCACUCUUGAUCUCAGCACAGGUCUUAAUCUCAGAGUCAAGCCCCAUGUUGGAUAUAGAGAUCAUUAAAAAUAAAAUCUUUUAAAAAA